AUCCCAACAAGCUGGUGUUCUGU
rnacentral:piRNA from 1 species